rnacentral:sRNA from 1 species
GAGCGGUGGCGCGAAGAUUUGAAUCUUG